rnacentral:tRNA from 1 species
GCCUUCGUGGUGAAAUUGGUAGACACGCCAUCUUGAGGGGGUGGUGACGAAAGUCGUAUGAGUUCGAGUCUCAACGAAGGCACCA